rnacentral:lncRNA from 10 species
GCAACCGGAGUCCUUUUCCACACUGUGGAAGCUUUGUUCUUUUGCUCUUUGCAAUAAAUCUUGCUGCUGCUCACUCUUUGGGUCCACACUGCCUUUAUGAGCUGUAACACUCACCGUGAAGGUCUGCAGCUUUACUCCUGAAGCCAGCGAGACCACGAACCCACCGGCAGGAACGAACAACUCCAGACGCGCCGCCUUAAGAGCUGUAACACUCACCGCGAAGGUCUGCAGCUUCACUCCUGAGCCAGCGAGACCACGAACCCACCGGAAGGAAGAAACUCUGAACACAUCCGAACAUCAGAAGGAACAAACUCCGGACACGCCGCCUUUAAGAACUGUUAACACUCACCGCAAGGGUCCGCGGCUUCGUUCUUGAAGUCAGUGAGACCAAGAACCCACCAAUUCCGGACACAAGGGGAGCUGACUUUCAUUAUAAAGAUUUUCUCAUUGCAAAGUGAAAAAGAGAAUAAUAACUUUAAAACAAGGCAGAAAGUAAAGAGAACUGGAAGCGAGGAACAUGCUCUGAACUAGAACUGGCAACAUGAGAGAUGAGCUCAGGCUUCAAAAUGGUGUCUGCACUGGGUCUUGAAGGAAGAGCAGAGUUUGGGCAUUUAGAAACCAAGAAUUCCAGGUGCAAUAGGACGGCUAGAGGGAACUGGAGCUGGAUAUUUCCCUUCUCUCAGAAAUGAAUGGCAGUAUCAUCAGAACAACCACCCAUAUGUUUUCCCAAAGCAAGACAUUGUGAGGUGUUAAGAGAUAUAUGCAGAGUCUCGCUCUGUCUCGCCCAGGCUGGAGUGCAGUGGUGUCAUCUUGGUUCACUGUGGCCUCUCCCUCCCGGGUUCAAGUGAUUCU